rnacentral:rRNA from 1 species
UGGCUCAGGACGAACGCUGGCGGCGUGCCUAAUACAUGCAAGUCGAGCGGACAGAAGGGAGCUUGCUCCCGGAUGUUAGCGGCGGACGGGUGAGUAACACGUGGGUAACCUGCNUGUAAGACUGGGAUAACUCCGGGAAACCGGAGCUAAUACCGGAUAGUUCCUUGAACCGCAUGGUUCAAGGAUGAAAGACGGUUUCGGCUGUCACUUACAGAUGGACCCGCGGCGCAUUAGCUAGUUGGUGGGGUAAUGGCUCACCAAGGCGACGAUGCGUAGCCGACCUGAGAGGGUGAUCGGCCACACUGGGACUGAGACACGGCCCAGACUCCUACGGGAGGCAGCAGUAGGGAAUCUUCCGCAAUGGACGAAAGUCUGACGGAGCAACGCCGCGUGAGUGAUGAAGGUUUUCGGAUCGUAAAGCUCUGUUGUUAGGGAAGAACAAGUGCGAGAGUAACUGCUCGCACCUUGACGGUACCUAACCAGAAAGCCACGGCUAACUACGUGCCAGCAGCCGCGGUAAUACGUAGGUGGCAAGCGUUGUCCGGAAUUAUUGGGCGUAAAGGGCUCGCAGGCGGUUUCUUAAAGUCUGAUGUGAAAGCCCCCGGCNUCAACCGGGGAGGGUCAUUGGAAACUGGGAAACUUGAGUGCAGAAGAGGAGAGUGGAAUUCCACGUGUAGCGGUGAAAUGCGUAGAGAUGUGGAGGAACACCAGUGGCGAAGGCGACUCUCUGGUCUGUAACUGACGCUGAGGAGCGAAAGCGUGGGGAGCGAACAGGAUUAGAUACCCUGGUAGUCCACGCCGUAAACGAUGAGUGCUAAGUGUUAGGGGGUUUCCGCCCCUUAGUGCUGCAGCUAACGCAUUAAGCACUCCGCCUGGGGAGUACGGUCGCAAGACUGAAACUCAAAGGAAUUGACGGGGGCCCGCACAAGCGGUGGAGCAUGUGGUUUAAUUCGAAGCAACGCGAAGAACCUUACCAGGUCUUGACAUCCUCUGACAACCCUAGAGAUAGGGCUUUCCCUUCGGGGACAGAGUGACAGGUGGUGCAUGGUUGUCGUCAGCUCGUGUCGUGANAUGUUGGGUUAAGUCCCGCAAC